rnacentral:rRNA from 1 species
AUGCAUAGGAAUCUACCUAGUAGUAUGGGAUAGCCACUAGAAAUGGUGGGUAAUACUGUAUAAUCCCUGCGGGGGAAAGAUUUAUCGCUAUUAGAUGAGCCUAUGUUAGAUUAGCUAGUUGGUAGGGUAAAGGCCUACCAAGGCAGUGAUCUAUAGCUGGUCUGAGAGGAUGAUCAGCCACACUGGAACUGAGAUACGGUCCAGACUCCUACGGGAGGCAGCAGUGGGGAAUAUUGGACAAUGGGCGCAAGCCUGAUCCAGCUAUGCCGCGUGAGUGAGGAAGGCCUUAGGGUUGUAAAACUCUUUCAGUAGGGAAGAUAAUGACGGUACCUA